rnacentral:rRNA from 1 species
GUGCCAGCAGCCGCGGUAAUACGUAGGGUGCAAGCGUUGUCCGGAAUUAUUGGGCGUAAAGAGCUCGUAGGCGGUUUGUCGCGUCUGCUGUGAAAACUGGAGGCUCAACCUCCAGCCUGCAGUGGGUACGGGCAGACUAGAGUGCGGUAGGGGAGAUUGGAAUUCCUGGUGUAGCGGUGGAAUGCGCAGAUAUCAGGAGGAACACCGAUGGCGAAGGCAGAUCUCUGGGCCGUAACUGACGCUGAGGAGCGAAAGCAUGGGGAGCGAACAGGAUUAGAUACCCUGGUAGUCCAUGCCGUAAACGUUGGGAACUAGAUGUGGGGGCCAUUCCACGGUCUCCGUGUCGCAGCUAACGCAUUAAGUUCCCCGCCUGGGGAGUACGGCCGCAAGGCUAAAACUCAAAGGAAUUGACGGGGGCCCGCACAAGCGGCGGAGCAUGCGGAUUAAUUCGAUGCAACGCGAAGAACCUUACCAAGGCUUGACAUAUACGAGAACGGGCCAGAAAUGGUCAACUCUUUGGACACUC